UGAUCCUGGCUCAGGACGAACGCUGGCGGCGUGCCUAAUACAUGCAAGUCGAGCGGACAGAUGGGAGCUUGCUCCCUGAUGUUAGCGGCGGACGGGUGAGUAACACGUGGGUAACCUGCCUGUAAGACUGGGAUAACUCCGGGAAACCGGGGCUAAUACCGGAUGGUUGUUUGAACCGCAUGGUUCAAACAUAAAAGGUGGCUUCGGCUACCACUUACAGAUGGACCCGCGGCGCAUUAGCUAGUUGGUGAGGUAACGGCUCACCAAGGCAACGAUGCGUAGCCGACUGAGAGGGUGAUCGGCCACACUGGGACUGAGACACGGCCCAGACUCCUACGGGAGGCAGCAGUAGGGAAUCUUCCGCAAUGGACGAAAGUCUGACGGAGCAACGCCGCGUGAGUGAUGAAGGUUUUCGGAUCGUAAAGCUCUGUUGUUAGGGAAGAACAAGUACCGUUCGAAUAGGGCGGUACCUUGACGGUACCUAACCAGAAAGCCACGGCUAACUACGUGCCAGCAGCCGCGGUAAUACGUAGGUGGCAAGCGUUGUCCGGAAUUAUUGGGCGUAAAGGGCUCGCAGGCGGUUUCUUAAGUCUGAUGUGAAAGCCCCCGGCUCAACCGGGGAGGGUCAUUGGAAACUGGGGAACUUGAGUGCAGAAGAGGAGAGUGGAAUUCCACGUGUAGCGGUGAAAUGCGUAGAGAUGUGGAGGAACACCAGUGGCGAAGGCGACUCUCUGGUCUGUAACUGACGCUGAGGAGCGAAAGCGUGGGGAGCGAACAGGAUUAGAUACCCUGGUAGUCCACGCCGUAAAACGAUGAGUGCUAAGUGUUAGGGGGUUUCCGCCCCUUAGUGCUGCAGCUAACGCAUUAAGCACUCCGCCUGGGGAGUACGGUCGCAAGACUGAAACUCAAAGGAAUUGACGGGGGCCCGCACAAGCGGUGGAGCAUGUGGUUUAAUUCGAAGCAACGCGAAGAACCUUACCAGGUCUUGACAUCCUCUGACAAUCCUAGAGAUAGGACGUCCCCUUCGGGGGCAGAGUGACAGGUGGUGCAUGGUUGUCGUCAGCUCGUGUCGUGAGAUGUUGGGUUAAGUCCCCGCAACGAGCGCAACCCUUGAUCUUAGUUGCCAGCAUUCAGUUGGGCACUCUAAGGUGACUGCCCGGUGACAAAACCGGAGGGAAGGUGGGGAUGACGUCAAAUCAUCAUGCCCCUUAUGACCUGGGCUACACACGUGCUACAAUGGACAGAACAAAGGGCAGCGAAACCGCGAGGUUAAGCCAAUCCCACAAAUCUGUUCUCAGUUCGGAUCGCAGUCUGCAACUCGACUGCGUGAAGCUGGAAUCGCUAGUAAUCGCGGAUCAGCAUGCCGCGGUGGAUACGUUCCCGGGCCUUGUACACACCGCCCGUCACACCACGAGGGUUUGUAACACCCGAAGUCGGUGAGGUAACCUUUUAGGAGCCAGCCGCCGAAGG
rnacentral:rRNA from 1 species